rnacentral:ribozyme from 1 species
AAGCACUCGAAUUUCUAACGAAACUGAAUCUGCCACGGAUCCAUCCACACUGUGAAUCACUGCUGAGCAACGCCGACCAACUCGCCGCAUUUACCAAAGCUGUCAAACCUCGUCAUGUCUACUCAGGCUGGGAUAAUCUGGUGACAACC